rnacentral:tRNA from 1 species
UAGCUCAGUCGGUAGAGUGCUUGCCUUACAUGCACAAGGCUCUGGGUUCAAUCCCCAG